rnacentral:rRNA from 1 species
UGGGGAAUAUUGCACAAUGGAGGGAACUCUGAUGCAGCGACGCCGCGUGAGUGAUGAAGGAAUUCGUUUCGUAAAACUCUGUUCUAUGGGAAGUAAAGGACUGUACCAUAGGAGAAAGCUCCGGCUAAAUACGUGCCAGCAGCCGCGGUAAUACGUAUGGAGCUAGCGUUGUCCGGAAUUAUUGGGCGUAAAGGAUGCGCAGGCGGCUUUACAAGUUGGAUGUGAAAUAUUGUGGCUCAACCACAAACGUGCAUCCAAAACUGCAAAGCUUGAGUUAAGGAGGGGUAAGUGGAAUUCCUGGUGUAGCGGUAGAAUACGUAGAUAUCAGGAGGAAUACCGGUGGCGAAGGCGACUUACUGGACUUAAACUGACGCUCAGGCACGAAAGCGUGGGGAGCAAACAGG